rnacentral:rRNA from 1 species
UACGAAGGGGGCUAGCGUUGUUCGGAUUUACUGGGCGUAAAGCGCGUGUAGGCGGGUCGUUAAGUUGGGGGUGAAAUCCCGAGGCUCAACCUCGGAACUGCCUUCAAAACUGGCGACCUGGACUCAAGCAGAGGCAAGUGGAAUUGCGAGUGUAGAGGUGAAAUUCGUAGAUAUUCGCAGGAACACCAGUGGCGAAGGCGACUUGCUGGGCUUGUGGUGACGCUGAGACGCGAAAGCGUGGGGAUCAAACAGG